AGGUGCCUGCUGUAUUCGAUAGGAUGGAUAGUGUAUUGAGCCAACACUAAUUGAAAGGGAGUCCGGACUUCUAACGUGGAAUGUAGGCCUUAUAUACAUAAGGAAACAAGAAGCCUUAGAGAGGACACCCACCUGCCAGGAGCAGGUUCAAUCAUUCCAUCUAACCGGUACGGCGGGCUUUUU
rnacentral:other from 1 species